GACGAACGCUGGCGGCGUGCUUAACACAUGCAAGUCGAACGGUGAAGCUCCAGCUUGCUGGAGUGGAUCAGUGGCGAACGGGUGAGUAACACGUGAGCAACCUGCCCCUGACUCUGGAAUAAGCGCUGGAAACGGCGUCUAAUACUGGAUACGAGAAGGGUCCGCAUGGGCACUUUCUGGAAAGUUUUUCGGUUGGGGAUGGGCUCGCGGCCUAUCAGCUUGUUGGUGAGGUAAUGGCUCACCAAGGCGACGACGGGUAGCCGGCCUGAGAGGGCGACCGGCCACACUGGGACUGAGGCACGGCCCAGACUCCUACGGGAGGCAGCAGUGGGGAAUAUUGCACAAUGGGCGAAAGCCUGAUGCAGCGACGCCGCGUGAGGGAUGACGGCCUUCGGGUUGUAAACCUCUUUCAGCAGGGAAGAAGCGAAAGUGACGGUACCUGCAGAAGAAGCACCGGCUAACUACGUG
rnacentral:rRNA from 1 species